rnacentral:tRNA from 1 species
AAAGUAAUGGUUCGUAACUAACUUUCUUUAGACUUAAAAUCCCCCGGUGGCGACACCGUGCCAGUUCGAGUCUGGCCCUGGGCACCA